rnacentral:hammerhead_ribozyme from 1 species
AUCCUGCUGACGAGUCCCAAACAGGACGAAACGCGUGUCCUGGAU